GGCUUGGAGGCAAGCAAAAGAGAAAGAGGGGAAAGAGAGAAAGAAAGAGAGGAGAGAGGGAACGAGGGUGAUGGGAUACAGAGAAAACAGUGGCAACGAGUGUGAUUAAAUCAGUGAAAGGAAAAACGAAAAACAUUAAAAGAGCUUUGAGACAUCACUGAGAGUGAGGAUGCUAUAAAAUGAAACCGUGCGGAGAAAGGGUCUGCUUUUCCAGCAUGUUCCCCAUCUUGGAAAUAAAAUAAUGAUAUAGUGUAUGGAUCAGUGAAAAGAGACUUUACAAAUAUCGAGGAUUGGCACCACGUUUCAAAAUAAUCAUUUCAUUACCCUUACCAGUGAUUCUCUUCUGCUUCUGAUUUGGUGCUGUAUCAUCUGUUCAUCUGAAAAUUCAUCGCUUUCGACUAUUGGAGGAAACGCUCUUUUGCCGACAGUGCGUCUACCCUGCCGGAGCCUUAUGCUCCUUCUGCUUCAGCAAAAGCCACAGUUACGUGUAGAUGUUUGGGUGGAACAAAAAUGGAAGAAUUCUUUCUUAUUCGAAAGAAUUACAUCUGUUUCCCAGUCUGAACUGACCAUUAAGGAACUGCUAAGAUCUGCUUUCAAGAUGGAAUAAAAAAAUAAAAACAACAAUUCUACCAAAAAAGAAUUACCACUCCAUUUUAUUCCCAGAAUUCCUGGACGUUUGUUGGACUACAGGAUGGAAAAGAUUUGAAGUUACCUGCUGAUUAUGGAUUUAUGGAUUUUCUGUUAAAUACUCCUGGAUGGACUAUUAAAAUUCACAGCAGCACAUAUAAUAACCCUUAAAUUCUCCCAGGACAGCAAAUAAAUUAAUGCAAAAAGAGGAUGGGAGUUUUCAAUUGAAAAGAAAGGGUUCAAAGUAUCAAGAAGUUGCUUUGUCAACAGUAUUAAAAUAACGAAAUUCUCCUAAUGUAUUCCUUCACUUAAAAAUUGAACUGUGUAUCUGUUUAUAAAUAAAUAUGUUUUACUUUGUCAUUUUUCUGUUGUGUAUUUAAGAUGUCACUUUAUUUUCUGAUUAAACUAUGUAUGCCACUUUUGCCAAAUAUAUGUAUAUUUUUUCUUCUGUUGUUAAAGUCUAAAUUUGAGUAAAUAAAAAUGAAAUCCAAUGUA